UACGGAGGAUGCAAGCGUUAUCCGGAUUUAUUGGGUUUAAAGGGUGCGCAGGUUGUUUGAUAAGUCAGUGGUGAAAGUCUGUCGCUUAACGGUAGGAUUGCCAUUGAUACUGUUGGACUUGAAUAUGGAUGAGGUAGGCGGAAUGUGUAGUGUAGCGGUGAAAUGCAUAGAUAUUACACAGAACACCGAUUGCGAAGGCAGCUUACUAAUCCAUCAUUGACGCGGAGGCACGAAAGCGUGGGGAUCAAACAGGA
rnacentral:rRNA from 1 species